rnacentral:tRNA from 1 species
GCGCUCGUGGUGUAGUGGUGAACAUGACGGUCUGUCCAACCGUCGAGGCGGGUUCGAUCCCCGUCGAGCGCG